rnacentral:rRNA from 1 species
GACGAACGCUGGCGGCGUGCCUAAUACAUGCAAGUCGAGCGGACGGAUGGGAGCUUGCUCCCAGACCGUCAGCGGCGGACGGGUGAGUAACACGUGGGCAACCUGCCUGUAAGACUGGGAUAACUCCGGGAAACCGGGGCUAAUACCGGAUAACUCUUUCCCUCACAUGAGGGAAAGCUGAAAGAUGGCAUCUCGCUAUCACUUACAGAUGGGCCCGCGGCGCAUUAGCUAGUUGGUGAGGUAACGGCUCACCAAGGCGACGAUGCGUAGCCGACCUGAGAGGGUGAUCGGCCACACUGGGACUGAGACACGGCCCAGACUCCUACGGGAGGCAGCAGUAGGGAAUCUUGCGCAAUGGACGAAAGUCUGACGGAGCAACGCCGCGUGAGUGAUGAAGGUUUUCGGAUCGUAAAACUCUGUUGUCAGGGAAGAACAAGUACCGGAGUAACUGCCGGUACCUUGACGGUACCUGACCAGAAAGCCACGGCUAACUACGUG